AAUUAGUCAAACUCUGCGUAAGCGUCGCCGGAUUAGGGCUUCCAUGUUACUUUCUCUUCCAUAACUCAACCUUGCCGUCUUGGCUUUGCAGAGUCUCAUCUCUUCGCCUCCACUUAUGUAUUAAUUCUGCCAUAAUAGUUAAUCCCAUUGGAUCCAGAUUCCAUGUCAACGUCUCCCUUUCCUCAGUCUCAAAUCUAUAAAUAUGAGAUGCUGUUGUUUCGCACUCCGCGUUUGAGGCUCUCCGCGUCGAAUGAUCUGGCCAGUUCAUUGUUGUCAGUUUACUCUGUCUUUGGGACUCGAAAAACAUAAAGAAGCAUGGUGAAUUCAUGGGAAUCACUCUACUCCUUCUUGAUGAGAAGAAUUUGGUGAUACAUGGAUUCAUCCUGCUGGUCCCGCUCCUGACUACCGUCCCUCUUUUCGAGGGGGUUCAGUCGUGACCUUAACUGGAGAAAGGAAGGAGCUGUCGUACCAGUCAAAAAUCAGGGACACAUAUGUGGAAGUUAUUGGGCACUCACGGUGGUUGGAGCGGUGGACGGUAUAAACAAGAUCAAGACCGGAGAAUUGAUAUAUUUUUGGGAACGAGAAUUCAUAGACUGCUACAGAGAGGACGGCAGCGGUGUAUGUGAUGGAGUUUCACAUCUUGAGCUCGAGAGUCUGCAAACCUGACUCAUCACAUCUCACUGCCUACGGUGGUCCUCUUGAAACAUUAAUCUCUGCAUUUACAUCUUCAGCACCACUCCUCCCACUAUCUCGAAUUAACUCGGCCGUAUCAUCCUCCAAUGUAACCGAUUGAAGCUCCAUCUAUAAAUGGCUUCGUUGCUUGGGAUUAAGAGUCACAUCGAAAUGAAAUCCCAAAGAUCUCUCUCUCUCUAUCAAGCAGCAAAUCCAUUAAUGGCGAAUUCGUUUACUCUGCUUGGUGAGGUCAGUUCUAUCAAGAGCACAAAAUGAUAGGACACACUGAACACAACAUGUUAUGCUGUGUCUAGAAAGGGAUGUGAAUUUGAGUAUCAGUCUGUUGGCUUAGCUUUUUCGCAUUUCAUAACAAACUCGAAAUCUACGGCUCUGAGCCAAAACUUUUCUUGGUCAAUAGCAUCAGUCCCUAAGUUUCUGGAGGCUGCCUAUUUCUCAACGGGACAUCUGGAACCCACAUAUACUUUGACUUAAAAUAAAAUAAAACAAUAAUAAAUAUUUUUCAUAUUUCUCGGUCGCAGUUGUUUCUCUUUUUUUUUUUUUAUAUAUAACUCUAGCUUUGUUCCCUCUUAUCUCCAGAAUCUGAAGAAACAACACCAGAGCCAGUCAUCAUCUCUAAUCAAGAGCCAAGAUUGCCAAAUACCUCUGGUCUAGAGUCAUGAAUACCACUGGACAUUCUCACAUCAACUCUCCAUAUGCUGCAACCAUAUUCACUAACAAGGGAAAAAAACAUAUUUCAUCACAGUUUUUCUACAGAAUCUUGUGUUUAAGAUAUUUGGGAAUGAGUUUAGAUAAAUGUACAAGCUUAAGCCUGAUAACUGAGGAGUAUGUCCUACCACCAUCGCCUUGGCACCAACAGCUUCAAAAGAGUCUCAGAGAAUUUUACUUACCUGAUUAGAAAAAUACUCAUAAAAGAUAGUCAAUCCAAGCUGAUGGUUGUAUAAUAUUUUCAGGAUUGUGGUGACUCCAAUUUAAAUUCAUGUUCAAUUUGAUAGUCAUCCAGAUCAGAGGUCUCUCUUGAGUAAACUCUGCUCCAAACCACACUGUCAAAUUGUAAGUGUGGAUUGAUGACAUGGAGAUGGGAUGAUGGAUGAUGUGAAAGUUGGCUCAAAGAAGAGUGCAAGUUGGCUCACGAGAAGAGCAUGAAGGAUCCACUAUUUAAAGGAGUCCCUAAGCAAGAAUAAUUUAUAAGAGCUGUCUAGAGUUUAGAUCAAUCAAGUGUUAAAGGGUGAGGUGAGAGUACUCCAUCAUAAACCUCUCAAGGUUCUUGAGUGCUUGUAAACACAGUUCUAUUUCUAAUAUAGUUAUUAUUUCAUCUUUA